CCAACGGCCAGAGCCCGGCUGGCUCGCUUGGGCUUCGAGCCUUCCCUCACCUAGCUCCAGACGUUGGUCACCAAAAGGGCCCCGCCAGGUAGUUCAGGCUCCCGACACCGCGGCCUCCAGGAACGAACUGCUCUGGCGCCUCGCCGCGUCCCGCAGCCGGGGAAAGUACGAGCCGACAGCAUCCCCGUCCGGCAGUGAGGUUUUCUGAGGCGGAAACAAGAUGCCCCCGCCAGCCCGGAUGCUGCUUUCCACAUCUCUUCUUAGCAGGCAGGUCCUCUUCACGGCCUUUUUGUCAAUUUGGUAAAACAGCACUUUCCCCAGGUUGUACAGGUGGCGGAGCCCCCAUUUGAACCCAGUCCGUCUGAUUCCAGAGUUCCUUAAUUUAGCCACUGGAUUGUGGUGCCUCCUUAUCAGGUAGGCAUCAUGUAUUACCAUUACUUAUAGUCCUCGGGGUACUUAGGACACCUGUAAUGAGCCCAUGGGCUGCCUACUAGGCGUCUGGAUUGGUUCACCUCUUAAGUGGACCCUUGGCUACACUGGGCUCCAGGCUCUUGAGAAGAUGCUGGGCAGAGACCCCAAUUGCCAGCAUAUCCCCAUAGGGCAUUUCUUUUCUUACAGAUCCUUGUAGCCAACCACAUCGCUGUCUGUGCAGGGACAGGAGAUACACAUCAGAUGAGUAAAGGAUCCAUCCUGGCUUAAAAAAGCCUUGUGCCCCAAGGGCACCCAUAUCCAUAGACCAGUUUUCAGGAUCCUGGUCGAAACUGGCAAUUUAACAAUAUUAAUUUCUGCAGUCCACUGCAUGGGACAUAUCUGUAUAAAAUUAGGUGUUUUGAAUUUUCUCUCCGCUAUAUUUUGAAGCAAGGGUCAGCAAAUUAUAGCCUGUGGGCAAAAUUCAGCUCAUAGCCUGUGAAGCUGAAGCCUGUUAACACACUAAGCAUUGUGUUAACAUUUUUAAAGAGCUGCAAAGAAAAAUAUGCGAUAGAGACUAUAUGUGAGCCACAGAAUUUAUAUUAUUUGUUAUCUGGCCCUGUACAGAGAAACUUUUCAACUACUGUUUCGUAGUUUUGUGUGUACAGGUCUUGAACAGCUUUUGCUAAUUUAUUCCUAAGUAUUUUACGGGAUUUGUGAACGUUAUUUUUUUUUCGUGUUUAUUUUUGAGAGAGACAGAGUGCGAGAGGGGGAGGUGCAGAGAGGGAGGGAGACACGGAAUGUGAAGCAGGCUCCAGGCUCUGAGCUGUCAGCACAGAGCCUGAUGCGGGGCUUGAACUCACGAGCUCUGAGAUCAUGACCUGAGCUGAAGUCAGAUGCUUAACAGAUUGAGCCAUCCAGGCGCCCCUGUAAAUGUUUUUUGUUUUUUUUUUUAAUUUUAUUUUUGAGUAAUCUCCAUACCCAACAUGGGGCUCAAACUCACAACCCCAAGAUCAAGAGUUGCAUGUUCCUCGGACUGAGCCAGCCAGGCACCCUGUAAAUGUUAUUUUAAAUGAUCUCUUUAUUUUUAUUUAUUUAUUUAUAUUUUAGAGAGAGAGAGCAUGGGCAAGCCAGAGAGAGGGGCAGAGAGAGAGAGAGAGAGAGAGAGAGAGGGAGAGAGAGUCUUAGGUAGGCUCCACGCUCAGCUCAGAGCCUACAUUGGGACUGAUUCCCACAACCCUGGGGUUAUGACCUGAGUCAAAAUUAAGAGAUGUUCAACCAACUGAGCCACUCAGUGGCCCCCAAAUGGUUUCUUUUAAAUAGGUUAUUGGUAGUACAUGGAAAAUACAUUUAUCUGUUUAUCUGUAUCUACACAACACUCACACGUAAAAUAUACACACUAUAUAGAUAUAUGGAUGAUAUAUACAUAUACAUAUACAUAUACAUAUACAUAUACAUAUACAUCCGGAUAUAGACCUUGCUAAAUUUACUUUUUACUUCUGGUGGUUUCUUUGCAGACUCCUUUGAGUUUUCUACAUCCACAUAGUAUUUUCUGUAAAUCAUGUAUCUCUGAAUAAACAUAGCUUUAUUUCUGUAUGAUCUGCAUGUCUUUUGUUUCUCUUUCUUACCCUACAUUUGCAGAGACCAACAAUUAUCCGCACAGCAAUACUGGGCGUUUCUCUUCCAGUUGAGCUUUGUAGCUGACAGCACAGCUGUCUAUGAGUGAUCUUAUCCCCUCUGGGAGAAGGAGAGGAGAUGCAUUUCAGAUGCAGAAAAAAGCGUGUGACAAACUCCAACAUCCUUUCGUUAGAAAAGAACAAAGAAUAAAAGUGAAUCUCCUCGACCUGCAUAACUUCUCGUGGCCAGCGUGUUGACUUCUGAUCAGCCUCAUCUGAGACUACGCCGUUUUACACGUACACAAAUGCCCCGAGCUAUCGGGCUUCAGCUUGCUCUAGAAGAACAGAGUGCGGGUUAAGUUUGUUUGACAUAACUGGAAGGCCGAGCCUCUUCCCGUUAGUGGCAAUUAGGGGUCCCUCCCCAUUUCUAGAUAGCUUUUGCUGAGAUAUUGUUUCUUUCAGGAGAAGAAAAUGAAUGGGCUGGUGAUCCA